GCGGCGGUAGUCGAACCUCUGAUCGAUCAUCAUCGACUCUCCAACCGUGUCCGCCUCGCUUCAGCUCCCUUCACUCUCUCCUCUCACUCGCUCGCUCUCCGAAGGAUGAAAUUUGAGCUCAGAGUUAGGGUUUGAAAUUCUGAAUUGAAUAGUACCGGCCAGUUAGUUUGAAAAUGGCGGCUGCUUCUCUAUCUGCCCGUUCAUCACCCGAGCUUCUAUUUCUCCGGCCAGACUCUGCCCGCAAAUUCCGAGUCUCUCUGUCCAGGAUUGCACUCUCGAGGCGCACCAGGCCUCGCCUUCUUCUCCGAGCUCGAGUUCAGGGAGAAGAAGCCGUAGUUGAGGAGAUAGAGCUUAAUGGUAAUGGGAGUGUUUAUGGUCGCAAUGGGAUGGCUAAUGGGGGUAUUGGAGUGGUCGAGAGUCAGAAUGGGGCGAGCAACGGUAGCUUGGUGAAGUACGUGAACGGGAACGGCGCCGCAGCGGGAAUCGCGGAAGUUGUCGUGGAAUCGGAGACCACGGCGGCGGCGGCGGCUGGGAAGAAGAGAACUAUAGAGGAGAUUGGACAGGAGGAGGCGUGGUUUAAGCGGGUUGGGAAAGAGCAGAUAGAGGUAUCUGUUGCCCCUGGUGGCCGCUGGAGUAGAUUCAAAACCUAUUCAACAAUUCAAAGGACUUUGGAGAUUUGGGGAUUUGUUUUAACUUUUAUCUUUAGGACUUGGUUGAGCAAUCAGAAAUUUUCUUAUCGAGGUGGGAUGACUGAAGAGAAGAAAGUCCAAAGGCGGAAAGUCCUUGCCAAGUGGUUGAAGGAAAAUAUUUUGAGAUUAGGUCCGACAUUCAUCAAAAUUGGGCAGCAGUUCUCCACAAGGGUGGACAUUCUUCCUCAAGAAUAUGUCGAUCAAUUGUCAGAACUUCAGGAUCAAGUUCCUCCUUUCCCAUCUGACACAGCUAUAUCUAUAGUUGAAGAAGAGCUUGGAGCCCCCAUAAAUGACAUAUUUGAGCAGUUUGAUUAUGAGCCAAUAGCAGCUGCUAGUCUUGGUCAGGUCCACUGUGCAAAAUUGAAUGGGCAGGAAGUUGUUAUUAAAGUACAAAGGCCUGGUCUGAAGGAUCUUUUUGAUAUUGAUCUGAAAAAUCUGAGGGUGAUAGCAGAAUAUCUUCAGAAGGUUGAUCCCAAGUCAGAUGGUGCAAAAAGGGAUUGGGUUGCUAUCUAUGAUGAAUGUGCAAGUGUUUUGUACCAGGAGAUUGAUUACACCAAGGAAGCUGCCAAUGCAGAACUAUUUUCAGAUAACUUCAGAAACAUGGAUUAUGUGAAAGUCCCAACAAUAUAUUGGGAAUACACCACACCACAGGUUCUCACUAUGGAGUAUGUCCCUGGGAUCAAAAUAAACAGAAUACAAGCAUUAGAUGAGUUGGGUGUCGAUCGUAAAAGAUUGGGACGGUAUGCUGUUGAAUCUUACUUGGAACAGAUCCUGUCUCAUGGAUUCUUCCAUGCUGAUCCACAUCCUGGGAAUAUAGCUGUUGAUGAUGUUAACGGAGGAAGACUGAUCUUUUAUGAUUUUGGAAUGAUGGGAAGUAUAAGCCCAAAUAUAAGAGAGGGGCUGCUGGAGACAUUUUAUGGAGUUUAUGAAAAGGAUCCAGAUAAGGUUCUUCAAGCAAUGAUUCGGAUGGGUGUUCUUGUGCCUACUGGGGAUAUGACAGCUGUUAGACGAACAGCACAAUUCUUCCUUAACAGCUUUGAAGAACGUUUAGCAGCACAAAGAAAAGAGAGAGAGAUGGCAAUGGCAGAACUUGGAUUUAAGAAACCAUUGAGCAGGGAGGAGAAGAUAGAGAAAAAGAAGCAGCGUUUAGCAGCAAUAGGAGAAGAUUUGUUGGCUAUUGCAGCAGAUCAACCCUUCAGAUUUCCUGCCACUUUCACUUUUGUUGUUAGAGCAUUUUCAGUCUUGGAUGGCAUUGGGAAAGGCCUUGACCCACGGUUUGAUAUUACAGAGAUUGCUAAACCUUAUGCCCUAGAGUUACUCAGGUUUCGCGAAGCUGGUGUUGAAGUUAUCUUAAAGGACUUCAGGAAGAGAUGGGACCGUCAAUCUCGUGCAUUUUACAACUUAUUUAGACAAGCUGAUAGAGUUGAAAAGCUUGCUCAAAUUAUUCAACGAUUGGUACAAGGUGAUUUAAAGCUCCGAGUUCGAGCUUUGGAGUCUGAGAGGGCUUUCCAGCGUGUUGCAGCUGUUCAAAAGACGAUAGGAAGUGCAGUAGCUGCUGGAACUCUAGUUAACCUUGCAACAAUUUUGUAUCUCAACUCAAUUCGGGUUCCUUCUAUGGUGGCAUAUGCGUUCUGUGCUGUUUUUGGCUUCCAAGUUCUUUUUGGCAUUCUUAAGGUUAAAAAGUUAGAUCAGCGUGAGAGAUUGAUAACAGGAACUGCUUAAAUUACUGUACUUUUGCCAACUCAAUCUGGAUAGAUAUUGAGAGACCAGCUCAUGAUUGCAACAUAAACCCCCUGGCUGCAAGAGCUUGAUGCCAAGUUUUAAAUUCAGGCAAAACACCCUGGUUGUGAUAUUGAUCUGGAUCUGUAGUAUCAUGUUAGCUGCAUCAAGGUAAGACCAAAGACUUUGUUAGCCAUGCCUGGCUGAACAUCCACAGCAGCCAAGGGAUGUGUCGGAAGAAUGGUAUCUUAUAAAUUUUAGUUUCAUUUUGAUGACAAAAUCUUCUGUCCUUUUAGGAUACUACCACAUGCUGUGGUCAACCAAACACUGCUUUGACUUCUUAGAAACUCAAAUGUAAUUGCUGUUGAGUUGCUAAUGUUUGGA